UGGGGAAUAUUGGACAAUGGGCGAAAGCCUGAUCCAGCCAUGCCGCGUGUGUGAAGAAGGUCUUCGGAUUGUAAAGCACUUUAAGUUGGGAGGAAGGGCAUUAACCUAAUACGUUAGUGUUUUGACGUUACCGACAGAAUAAGCACCGGCUAACUCUGUGCCAGCAGCCGCGGUAAUACAGAGGGUGCACGCGUUAAUCGGAAUUACUGGGCGUAAAGCGCGCGUAGGUGGUUUGUUAAGUUGGAUGUGAAAUCCCCGGGCUCAACCUGGGAACUGCAUUCAAAACUGACUGAUUAGAGUAUGGUAGAGGGUGGUGGAAUUUCCUGUGUAGCGGUGAAAUGCGUAGAUAUAGGAAGGAACACCAGUGGCGAAGGCGACCACCUGGACUAAUACUGACACUGAGGUGCGAAAGCGUGGGGAGCAAACA
rnacentral:rRNA from 1 species